rnacentral:rRNA from 1 species
AACCUUACCUGGGUUUGACAUACACCGGAAAGCCGUGGAGACAUGGCCUCCGCAAGGCCGGUGUACAGGUGGUGCAUGGCUGUCGUCAGCUCGUGUCGUGAGAUGUUGGGUUAAGUCCCGCAACGAGCGCAACCCUUGUCCCAUGUUGCCAGCGGGUGAUGCCGGGGACUCAUGGGAAACUGCCGGGGUCAACUCGGAGGAAGGUGGGGACGACGUCAAGUCAUCAUGCCCCUUAUGUCCAGGGCUUCACACACGCUACAAUGGCCGGUACAAAGGGCUGCUAAGCCGUGAGGUGGAGCGAAUCCCACAAAGCCGGUCUCAGUUCGGAUCGGGGUCUGCAACUCGACCCCGUGAAGUCGGAGUCGCUAGUAAUCGCAGAUCAGCAAUGCUGCGGUGAAUACGUUCCC